CCCGUGCUACAACCGCACAAUUCAGGUUUUAAGUGUUUGCUAAUUGGCAAAACGCCUGCUUUUGGCGAGUCUGAGUUUAUUA
rfam:Bacillus sporothermodurans strain B4102 NODE_13, whole genome shotgun sequence.